ensembl:misc_RNA 7SK 7SK RNA
AGAUGUGAGGGCUAUCUGGCUGCGACAUCUGUCACCCCAUUGAUCACCAGGGUUAAUUUGGCUGAUCUGGCUCGCUAGGCGGGUGUCCCCUUCCUCCCUCACCACUCCAUGUGUGUCCCUCCCGAAGCUGCAUGCUCGGUCGAAGAUGACAGCCUUCCCUGGAUAGAGAUGGACCUGUCUUCGGUAGAGGGUAUACGAGUAGCUACGCUCUCCUGCUAGAACCUCCAAACAAGCUCUCAAAUUAGUGUUUGCAUACCCUUUGAAUAAUGCCCAAGUGUGGUAUUGCUGAAUUAUAGGGUAAUCAUACUUUUAUUU